rnacentral:rRNA from 1 species
UUUAUGGAGAGUUUGAUCCUGGCUCAGGAUGAACGCUGGCGGCGUGCCUAAUACAUGCAAGUCGAGCGAACAGAUAAGGAGCUUGCUCCUUUGACGUUAGCGGCGGACGGGUGAGUAACACGUGGGUAACCUACCUAUAAGACUGGAAUAACUCCGGGAAACCGGGGCUAAUGCCGGAUAACAUGUUGAACCGCAUGGUUCUACAGUGAAAGACGGUCUUGCUGUCACUUAUAGAUGGACCCGCGCCGUAUUAGCUAGUUGGUGGGGUAACGGCCUACCAAGGCGACGAUACGUAGCCGACCUGAGAGGGUGAUCGGCCACACUGGAACUGAGACACGGUCCAGACUCCUACGGGAGGCAGCAGUAGGGAAUCUUCCGCAAUGGGCGAAAGCCUGACGGAGCAACGCCGCGUGAGUGAUGAAGGUCUUC